GUGGCUCCUCUAGGUGAGCAGCCCUCAGUGCGCAUCUCCCUGAAGUCCACAUUGAUCCGGCAGAGCUGUGGGGUUCACAGCUCACACUGAGGCAUUCAGGGCCUAAACCCCACUUUACUCUUUUGUACAAUGAAUGGGAAAUCAGUGAUCUAAAUGAGUUUAAAUCUUAUUAGGGAUUCAGACUGCCCUUCAGACUCUGUCUCUAUUCCUCCCAGAGCUGGGUUCAACAUGAAUUCAAAUAGAAAUAUGAGACAAUGAAUUAUGGUAGUGACAAAGACCUUCCUUCGAAUUCCGGAUUUUUCUAGCAGCCCCUUUCUUUCUGCUUCCCACCUGCCUUCAACUCUUUCUCCUAAAAAAGUUCAGUUGGGGUGAACGUUUGAUGACUUAGAACAUCAUUAUUUUAACGUGAUCCCAAAGCGGUUUUCAUUAUAUGCAAAGCUGCAUAUUUAUUCACAUUUUAAAAAAUGUUCUAAAUUGGUUUCUUAUGUCCAAAAGAAGGGGAGCUAGUUAUAAGAAAAGAGAACUGAGUAACAUAAGAAAGUGCUAAUCAUUUCAAAUUAAAGUGGGAAACAUGCAAAGCAGAAAGAAUGAAUUUCAUAAACUCAACAAAUUAUUAACAUAAAUAAUUCCAAACUCUUGUAUCUAUAUAACAUCAGUGAUCUGUGAGGUGAAAUGAGAUUCUGAAGAAAAAGUAAAUAAUAAGGCCAUUUUUCUAAGCCAAAAAAGUUUUUGUCAUUAGUUGUGGAAUUUCACCAAUUAAUUUUUUUUCAAAUAAAACUUUCUUAAACUUUUACUGCCUACUAUUGCUUGUAGGUUAGUAAACCCUAGCAGAAAACAAAAUCAUUAAGGAAAUGGAAAACAAACAUUAAUGGGAAAUUUAUGUAAUCUUAAUUCUUAACGUGUCUUAUGAGUUAAUUUUUAAAAUGUGAAGGUUUAUUCUUGGUGUUUGGUAAUUAAGUUUAUUAAUCUCUCACAAAUAUGAGGAAUUUUAUUCCCUAAAGGAACGUGAGGAACACGAGUAGUUCAAGAAAAUGCUGAAGAUGCGCUUGGCUGGGAAGCUAGGAUAGGCUGACGAAGUCAGACUUAGUGUGGGAACCUGGCUGGGAAAGGGUUUCUUCUGUCCAUAAAAGCUACUCCAAUGGCUGUGGGAGACUUAAUUCCAAUUCCAGGUGAUACAGCCGUCAGUCUCCCACUAGCUGUAGGAUGGUGUGCUGCAGUUCACAGACCUAAGUCAAUGUUAGUCUACCACUGUACGUCUGGUAACCUCAAUCCCUGCAACCGGAGCAAAAUGUGAUUCCAGGUCUUGGCAACCUCUGAAAUUCCAACUCCAUUUGCGAGAGCUUUGAGGAGGCCAUAUGCUGAUUUCACCACAAGCAACUUCACAACCCAGUACUGGAAUGCCAUCAGCCAGCAGGCCCCUGCCAUUAUCUGUGACUUCUAUCUGUGGCUCAUUGGAAGGAAACCCAGCUACCGAAGGAAGAUACCCUCAUCAACCCAAUUUUACAAAUGGAGAAAUAGAAGCUCAGGGAAGAAUCUGAAGUAGUCUCAAAGGAAGUGACAGGAAGGAUGUGGAGAAAGCUGAGUGUCAAAGUCAGUAUUCAAGACCGGAUUUACUGCUACUUAGAGAUGAAUGAAGAAAUCAGAGGGAACGCAGUGUGCUGAUGCUAAAGCGGCUGUCACCACCCAGCUGUGUGACAUAGGACAUCUUCUUUCUCUGUCUCACUUGACUAAUAUGUUGUGUCAGGGGAGACAUGAUUGUAAUUGCCUAAAGCAAUUCUUGUGAUCAAGAAUCAGAAGCAUGAACAGUAUUGCCCUCUGUGUUAGCCCCUUUAUAAGGGAGGAAGUCAUCUUCAGCAUGCUGAAUUGUCAUCUUUCUUAGCAGUGCAAAUGACUAAAACUUAGCCAAUGUAGAGUUUGUCCAAAUUUGGAGCUCAUAACUCAGUUCUUGAGCAAAGUGAAAAGAAAACAUUGUGAUUAUGGGGAAAAUAUUUGUACGGGACUUAUCAAAUAAAGAUAGGAAAAGAAGAAAACUCAAAUAUUAUAGGCAGAAAUGCUAAAGGUUUUAAAAUAUGUCAGGAUUGGAAGAAGGCAUGGAUAAAGAACAAAGUUCAGUUAGGAAAGAGAAACACAGAAGGAAGAGACACAAUAAAAGUCAUUAUGUAUUCUGUGAGAAGUCAGACAGUAAGAUUUGUGGGAAAUGGGUUGGUUUGUUGUAUGGUAUGUAUUUUAGCAAUAAUCUUUAUGGCAGAGAAAGCUAAAAUCCUUUAGCUUGCGUGAAUGAUCACUUGCUGAAUUCCUCAAGGUAGGCAUGAUGAAGGAGGGUUUAGAGGAGACACAGACACAAUGAACUGACCUAGAUAGAAAGCCUUAGUAUACUCAGCUAGGAAUAGUGAUUCUGAGGGCACACUGUGACAUGAUUAUGUCAUUACAUGUAUGGUAGUGAUGGGGAUGAUAGAAGGAAGAACUUAUGGCAUAUUUUCACCCCCACAAAAAUCAGUUAAAUAUUGGGACACUAACCAUCCAGGUCAAGAAAAGUCACAUGCCAUAGCCAUGGUAUUGCACAUCAUUCAUCUUGCAUUCUUUGAGAAUAAGAAGAUCAGUAAAUAGUUCAGAAGUGGGAAGCUUUGUCCAGGCCUGUGUGUGAACCCAAUGUUUUGUUUAGAAAUAGAACAAGUAAGUUCAUUGCUAUAGCAUAACACAAAAUUUGCAUAAGUGGUGGUCAGCAAAUCCUUGAAUGCUGCUUAAUGUGAGAGGUUGGUAAAAUCCUUUGUGCAACACUCUAACUCCCUGAAUGUUUUGCUGUGCUGGGACCUGUGCAUGCCAGACAAGGCCAAGCUGGCUGAAAGAGCAACCAGCCACCUCUGCAAUCUGCCACCUCCUGCUGGCAGGAUUUGUUUUUGCAUCCUGUGAAGAGCCAAGGAGGCACCAGGGCAUAAGUCUACUCACUUAUAUCUGUUUGUCUGGAACAUAACCCAUGUUUGUUUUUACAACAAAUAAAAUUGAUCUUGAAUAAAAA
rnacentral:lncRNA from 1 species